rnacentral:tRNA from 1 species
ACCUGGGUGGCUCAGUCGGUUGAGCAUCCGACUUUGACUCAGGUCAUGAUUUCACAGUUCGUGGGUUUGAGCCCCACAUCGGGCU